CUUACGCCUUAAGCAUUGUAGACGAGCCUGAUGUAAGAGCAUUUGCUAUGUCUUACUGCUUAAAGCAAGGUUAUUAAGGACGUAUUCUCCAAUACUUCGGUCACACUACACAAAGAGACCAGGAUAACUUGGAAAAAUUGAUAGUGCAAGGCAAGGCCAAAGGCAAGAGAUCAAGAGGCCGAUCUCCGUCACGAUGGCUAGACCAGAUAAAAGAUAUCACAGGUCAACCACUGUAAAUAAAUCUCCGAGGCUGAAGAUUGCUAUUGUUGGACGACUAUGGUUCACCAUUGUAAAUGAUCAUAAUGUCACGAUUCUUCAGACAUGAAGAUACGAUGACAAAGAAGGAGAUAUAAAAGGAUCCCAAGCAAUCAAUUAAGCUUGUUAAAAAUUCAUCCGCUUAGCUGUUUUUAGAUAUGGCGGAUAUGGCUAUCGUAUCUCCGCUCAACUCGAUGCUUGAGAUAUAUAGACACUUUCGGUCUCGCUGCCCGUGCCGCUGGCGCAAACACUUGGCAAACACUACCGUGUCUCUUGAUAUAUAUGUUGUCAAUUAUUUAUUGUUACAAUGUUGUGGAAAUUACUGAAGUAACUAUCAUUUAAUUAUUUCUUUGUCUAGAUCUGUAGCCGACCGCUUUGGUAUGGGCAAAUCAUCGUUGAGUAACUGCUUCAUGCGUGUUAUUAAAGCUCUCAACGACAUUGCUAGUGAUAUAUUUGGCCAACCUGUUGGCAAUUAUUUGGCCAACAGGUGACAAGCUUUUGACUGUAAAAGAGAAAUUCAAAGAAAAUGGUGAUUUAUCUGAUGUCAUCGGUGCAAUCGAUGGUACUGAUACUGAAGUGAAAGGUCCUAUAUAAGGAAAAUUGUCAAUUCUACAUUAACAGAAAAAAGCGGUUCAGCAUCACUCUCCAAACUGUUUGUGAUUCUCAGCUUAGCUUCACAGACUGCUUUGCUGGUAUUGCAGGCUUUGUUGGUAAGUAUCUCAUGAUAGUCUGUAGACGACUAUCUAGCGAAACCACUGCCAAGGAAACGGGCUUGGAAAAAUUAGCGAGGAAAGAAGACCCUGUUGAGCUU